rnacentral:misc_RNA from 1 species
GUAGGUGAACCUGCGGAAGGAUCAUUAGAGAUGUGCGCAAGCACUUUCAAUUCAUACACCUGUGCACCGUGGUCUCCGGACCUACAAACUUGAAGUCAUGAACGUAAUCAUUAUAAACAAUAAAACUUUCAACAACGGAUCUCUUGGCUCUC